GACGAACGCUGGCGGCGUGCUUAACACAUGCAAGUCGAACGGGUCUGCCCUGUUUUUUGCGGGGUGGGUCAGUGGCGAACGGGUGAGUAACACGUGAGUAACCUGCCCCUCACUUCUGGAUAACCGCUUGAAAGGGUGGCUAAUACGGGGUGUUCUGGCUGUGCCGCAUGGUGUGGCUGGGAAAGAUUCACUUUUGUGGUGUUUUGGUGGGGGUGGGGCUCGCGGCUUAUCGGCUUGUUGGUGGGUUGAUGGCCUGCGACGGCUUUGACGUGUAGCCGGCCUAGGAUGAUGAGCGGUCACAGUGGUGCGAAGAGGCGGCCCAUACUCCUGCGGGAGGCAGCGGUGGGGGGUAGUGCACGAUGGGCGGAAGCCUGAUGCAGCGACGUGGCGUGGGAGAUGGAGGCCUUCGGGUUGUGAACCUCUUUCGCCGGUGAAGAAGGUCCUGCUCUUUGUGGUGGGGUUGACGGUAGCCGGGUUAUGAAGCGCCGGCUAACUACGUG
rnacentral:rRNA from 1 species